rnacentral:rRNA from 1 species
CAUGCAAGUCGAACGAUGAUGCCCAGCUUGCUGGGCGGAUUAGUGGCGAACGGGUGAGUAAUACGUGAGUAACCUGCCCUUGACUCUGGGAUAAGCCUGGGAAACUGGGUCUAAUACUGGAUACUACCUCUUGCCGCAUGGUGGGUGGUGGAAAGGGUUUUACUGGUUUUGGAUGGGCUCACGGCCUAUCAGCUUGUUGGUGGGGUAAUGGCUCACCAAGGCGACGACGGGUAGCCGGCCUGAGAGGGUGACCGGCCACACUGGGACUGAGACACGGCCCAGACUCCUACGGGAGGCAGCAGUGGGGAAUAUUGCACAAUGGGCGGAAGCCUGAUGCAGCGACGCCGCGUGAGGGAUGACGGCCUUCGGGUUGUAAACCUCUUUCAGUAGGGAAGAAGCGAGAGUGACGGUACCUGCAGAAGAAGCGCCGGCUAACUACGUGCCAGCAGCCGCGGUAAUACGUAGGGCGCAAGCGUUGUCCGGAAUUAUUGGGCGUAAAGAGCUCGUAGGCGGUUUGUCGCGUCUGCUGUGAAAGCCCGGGGCUCAACCCCGGGUCUGCAGUGGGUACGGGCAGACUAGAGUGCAGUAGGGGAGACUGGAAUUCCUGGUGUAGCGGUGAAAUGCGCAGAUAUCAGGAGGAACACCGAUGGCGAAGGCAGGUCUCUGGGCUGUUACUGACGCUGAGGAGCGAAAGCAUGGGGAGCGAACAGGAUUAGAUACCCUGGUAGUCCAUGCCGUAAACGUUGGGCACUAGGUGUGGGGGACAUUCCACGUUUUCCGCGCCGUAGCUAACGCAUUAAGUGCCCCGCCUGGGGAGUACGGCCGCAAGGCUAAAACUCAAAGGAAUUGACGGGGGCCCGCACAAGCGGCGGAGCAUGCGGAUUAAUUCGAUGCAACGCGAAGAACCUUACCAAGGCUUGACAUUCACCGGACCGCCCCAGAGAUGGGGUUUCCCUUCGGGGCUGGUGGACAGGUGGUGCAUGGUUGUCGUCAGCUCGUGUCGUGAGAUGUUGGGUUAAGUCCCGCAACGAGCGCAACCCUCGUUCUAUGUUGCCAGCACGUGAUGGUGGGGACUCAUAGGAGACUGCCGGGGUCAACUCGGAGGAAGGUGGGGAUGACGUCAAAUCAUCAUGCCCCUUAUGUCUUGGGCUUCACGCAUGCUACAAUGGCCGGUACAAAGGGUUGCGAUACUGUGAGGUGGAGCUAAUCCCAAAAAGCCGGUCUCAGUUCGGAUUGAGGUCUGCAACUCGACCUCAUGAAGUCGGAGUCGCUAGUAAUCGCAGAUCAGCAACGCUGCGGUGAAUACGUUCCCGGGCCUUGUACACACCGCCCGUCAAGUCACGAAAGUUGGUAACACCCGAAGCCGGUGGCCUAACCCCUUGUGGGAGGGAGCCGUCGAAGGUGGACGCGUCC